UCCCCGGUAGCUCAGCGGUAGAGCAGACGACUGUUAAUCGUCUGGUCGUUGGUUCGAUUCCAACCCGGGGAGCCA
rnacentral:tRNA from 1 species